UGGCGGACGGGUGAGUAACGCGUGGGUAACCUGCCAUAUACAGGGGGAUAACACUUAGAAAUAGGUGCUAAUACCGCAUAAGCGCACAUGGCCGCAUGGCCAGGUGUGAAAAACUCCGGUGGUAUAUGAUGGACCCGCGUCUGAUUAGCUAGUUGGUGAGGUAACGGCCCACCAAGGCGACGAUCAGUAGCCGGCCUGAGAGGGUGGACGGCCACAUUGGGACUGAGACACGGCCCAAACUCCUACGGGAGGCAGCAGUGGGGAAUAUUGCACAAUGGGGGAAACCCUGAUGCAGCGACGCCGCGUGAGUGAAGAAGUAUUUCGGUACGUAAAGCUCUAUCAGCAGGGAAGAAAAUGACGGUACCUGACUAAGAAGCCCCGGCUAACUACGUGCCAGCAGCCGCGGUAAUACGUAGGGGGCAAGCGUUAUCCGGAUUUACUGGGUGUAAAGGGAGCGUAGACGGCAGCGCAAGUCUGGAGUGAAAUGCCGGGGCUCAACCCCGGAACUGCUUUGGAAACUGUGCAGCUUGAGUGCGGGAGAGGUAAGUGGAAUUCCUAGUGCAGCGGUGAAAUGCGUAGAUAUUAGGAAGAACACCAGUGGCGAAGGCGGAUUACUGGACGAUAACUGACGGUGAGGCGCGAAAGCGUGGGGAGCAAACAGGAUUAGAUACCCUGGUAGUCCACGCUGUAAACGAUCAAUACUAGGUGUGCGGGGACUGACCCCCUGCGUGCCGGAGUUAACACAAUAAGUAUUGCACCUGGGGAGUACGAUCGCAAGGUUGAAACUCAAAGGAAUUGACGGGGGCC
rnacentral:rRNA from 1 species